UGUAUAUAUUCCCCAGUCAUUCAACCAUUCGUCGCCAGAUGGUCAGCUAAACUUACCUGUUCCUCCGAACCGUCGAGGGUGACUAUCUGUCCGGCAAUCUACCCGACCCACCAACUCCGGAUCGCCACGAACAUUCUCCUCUGCUCUGUGUAGCAAUAAACUGUUUAAUUGCUACCAACCUCGUCCUGUCGUAAUUUGUGCCGUGCGUUUGGGUUCACCCCGUCUUGAGCCGUAACAAACAUAGACCUAUUAAGAAAUAAUGAUACUAUUAAUCUGAAACGUAAAGCUAUUUUCUUACCAACGAUGUCCCUGCCUGACACAUAUCCCCGUCACGUAGGGACUAGACUAAUGACGUAGGCUAAUACAAAAAAUGUGACUGAAAAAGGGACUUCCCUUGUGUAAAUGCCAGGUUCUAUGAACAUCCUUUCUGUACCGACAGCGAUAUAUUGAUGCACUUCUUAUGACAAAUGUACUUAGCCUAUUGUAAGUCGCUUUGGAUAAAAGCGUCUGCUAAAUGCCCUAAAUGUAAAUGUAAAUUUGGAUGUCUGCGUCGGGGCCAGCAGACCGCUGCAGUCCAAACUCUCGCUGGAGACGUAACUCCUGUAGCUCCUUUCUCAGCUCCUGUAGGGGAGAGCCGGGUCGAUUGAAACACUUUUCAGUUAAACGUCUUUUUCAAAGAUGACGUUACGUAUACAAAUAAUUUUAACAUGUGAUCAACAACUCACAGUUGUGUUCUCUUAGUUACAAGUGAAAUUUAAUACAUAUGUUGGACGAUCGAGCUGCUUUUUAACUUUGAACGUAAGUUGACAUUUGUUUCAAACGCCCCGCCUAGUAGGGACGUUUGAAACACACAUGCGGGACGAUUGAAACAGCAUAUUUUAAAAAGAAUCUAUUGCCCUUACUCUUGUUUUUAUGCAACAUACUAGACAACAUACUAGUUUACUCGUCAUUGCUAAAAUCUCACAUAAUUCCGCAUCAUAUAAAUAGGUCAAAAUAUAUUUUUGGCCCGUGCGUAAUUAUCAAGAUGCACAUUUCGAUUAAAACUCACCUUUCUUCUUUUGGACGACUACAUUUGCAUUAAAUUUACUUAUUUCCCUGUCCUAAGUCAUGUUUAAGGAUACCCAGUUGAACAUCCUUUUAUUUAUUUUAAACAAAAACGACCAGGUCAACAGGAUAUCACGAGACCUGUUACAGCGGAUAUUUAUCCAAGCGCCGCACAGGGUUAAUUUCUUUUCGACACGCACAGCCUGGCGCACAGAAGCAUCCGGAGUCUCUGUGGACAGGUAAGUGGCUAAACUUAUUUUAUCUGAUAAAUAUUGUGUAAUAGUCUGCACAUUGACAUGAACAUUAUGUUGAAAUCAUAUAACAAGCAGAACUUUGAUUAAGAUUGCACUCUAGCUGAUUGAUGGUAAUGGCUGGAGAAAAAGAUAAAUCGGCAUGCCAUGUGUCAUGACCAAGAGCAAGGGUGUAGAAGGCUAGCCUAUAGCUUAUACCCAGCAGUUUUUAAGUGUGCAUGUCCACUAAAUUCAAUUAUUAUUGUCAUAAUUUAAUGUAGCCGUUGUUAUUUUGGAUGCGUUACAAUCAUGGACGAAAAGUAGGCCUACCCAGCGAAAUAUUUAAUAGCCCAGCUCCCACUCAUAGCCUAACCCAGACCUAAUAGUUAGUUAGUUAAUCAGUCUAGAAUGUUAACUGAAUUGUGCUGUAGGCCUACAUUUACAGUAUUUCCACUGCAAACUAGUGCAGACACAUGGACAGUAUAGUAGGCUGAGUAUUUUUAUUCUUUGUCACACAGGUGACACAGGUAGUGUGCACUCCCGUCGGUGCAAGCCUCAUGCGACCACUUAUAACAAAAGACACACUGGACCCACUCUUCCCCAGGCAUCGAGGCGCUGAAGAGCUCGGAGCACACGAGGCAGCUGACGUCCUCGCUGGAUAGGCCUAAAUAAAUUGGAGAAGUGGAGGCAGCAAUGGUGGUGAACUCUGCUGCCUCCGGAACAGGACAAACUAGGCCUAAGGUGGGGCUGACUCCAUCAGCGGGCCAGGUGAUGGUGGGAGGAGCAGCUGAGGUGGCAACUCCAGCAACUCCGGCAUCAGGAGCGGGCGAGAACAGCCUCUUCUUGGGAGCCCGAGAGGAGGGAGGCUGCUUGGCGGGACGACGCUGCUUCCCAGUUCCCUGCUUUUCCGCCUCUAAAGCAGCCCUCACCGGGGGUGUCCGUAAGUAUAGCAGUUGUCCUGAAAACGUUAAAUUGGACGUUUUGGACUUUUUAAAAAAAAAAAACUAAAAAAAUGGACUUUUUUUAUGAACUUGGACUUAUGGGACUAUUUACUUAUCUAUUAUGAACUCUGUUUAAUCCUCUGUUGCUUCUGAUGAAGUGUUCCUACCUGAAGUGGCACCUGGAGAAGCGCUGACCUCGUCACCCGAAGCCUGGGGAGGAGGACGGUCUGUGGAAUAGGCUCCGGCGAAGUCCUUUUCCUCAAACGCAGAGGGGUUAAAAGGCCAGAUCCCUGGACUUGAGAACCCGGAGGUAAUGUUGUUCACUGUCGCAGCCUUUGGUAAGGCUUCAGCAACGAUGGAGGGCACAUCAUAAAUGGAGAUGUUGAUCCCUGGGUGGCUCCUCAUCCACCUGUCCGCCGCACUGUUUACGUACCCCUUUAGGGGGCCCCGAAGACACUAAUGUCCAUUGGCUGCAACCUGUGGGUGCAGUGGGGAGGGAAUGACAGCAGCACUAUGCCAUUAGCUCUGCAGUAAUCAAUUGCUGCAAUUGACAGGUGGGACGGGUGAUUGUCCAGCAGGAGGAGCAGCUUCGACUCCUUGGACACACGGGUGUGCCUGGUGAAGUGGGCCAGGUACAGGAGGAAGUCUGGCUCCUUCAUCCAGCCAGUUGGGUUGCCGCUGCCUGCACAGCCAACGGGUCCACCCCUCAGGAAGUGGUCUUUGAACCGCUUACGGGGGAAGAUGAAGAAUGGCGGAACAAGGUCGCCCUGCGCAUUGCCUGCCAAGGCAACUGUGACCAGGGUCCCCCUCUCCGCUGAGGUCACUGACCCGACCUGCUUCUGCCCCAUCUGGGCGACGACACGGUCUGGCACCUGGACAGUGGUGACCCCUGUAAAUAGUUGUCUGGACAAUCGCUGUUGGCUAGUGGCCUCUGGACGCCGAAGGGAGAGGCUGCCACUGCGCUCCAUGAAGGAGGUGAACCAGUCCUUCCCCGCCAUGCUCUUCCUCGACCAGGAUGCAGGGAAUGGGCAGCUGAAGUGGACUGCCAGCUCAAAGGCAAAUUUUCUGACCUGAAGGGGUCAUAAAAAGUUGAUGUUUAUGUUUAUGUUAUUUAAUCAUAUUUAUUAAUUAAA
ensembl:lncRNA